GAAACCAACAGGGAUUUCCCCAGUAACGGCGAGUGAAGCGGCAACAGCUCAGAUUUUAAAUCCGGGCCCUGGACCAGAGUUGUAAUCUGUAGGGGUAGCUUCGGGCGCGGCGUCUUCUGAGUCCCCUGGAACGGGGCGCCACAGAGGGUGAGAGCCCCGUACGGUCGACCGCUAAGCCCGUGUGAAGCUCCUCCGACGAGUCGAGUAGUUUGGGAGUGCUGCUCAAAACGGGAGGUGAAUGUCGUCUAAAGCUAAAUACCGGCCAGAGACCGAUAGCGCACAAGUAGAGUGAUCGAAAGAUGAAAAGCACUUUGAAAAGAGGGUUAAAAAGUACGUGAAAUUGUUGAAAGGGAAGCGCCCGUGACCAGACUUGCGCCCGGCGGCUCCGUAGGCCUUCUGGCCUGCGUACUCCGCCGGGCUCAGGCCAGCAUCGGCCUCCGCAGGGGACAAAAACAGCGGGAACGUGGCCUCCUUCGGGGAGUGUUAUAGCCCGCUGUAGAAUUGCCUGCGGGGACCGAGGUUCGCGCUCUGCAAGGAUGCUGGCGUAAUGGUCAUCGGCGACCCGUCUUGAAACACGGACCAAGGAGUCAAACGUUUGUGCGAGUGUUUGGGUGUCAAACCCCCUACGCGUAAUGAAAGUGAACGGAGGUGAGAGCCCCCGCGGCGCAUCAUCGACCGAUCCUGAUGUCUUCGGAUGGAUUUGAGUAAGAGCAUAGCCGUUUGGACCCGAAAGAUGAUGAACUAUGCCUGUAUAGGGUGAAGCCAGAGGAAACUCUGGUGGAGGCUCGCAGCGGUUCUGACGUGCAAAUCGAUCGUCAAAUAUGGGCAUGGGGGCGAAAGACUAAUCGGAUCAUCUAGUUGUGGUUCACAGCCAAGUUUUCCUU
rnacentral:rRNA from 1 species